AGGACGAACGCUGGCGGCGUGCCUAAUACAUGCAAGUCGAACGGAUUGCCUUCGGGCAGUUAGUGGCGGACGGGUGAGUAACACGUGAGUGACCUGCCCUGGAGUGGGGAAUAACUCUGCGAAAGCAGAGCUAAUACCGCAUUCGCUUACUUCAUCAUCGGAGUAAGUAAAGCUUAAUGCGCUUCAGGAGGGGCUUGCGGCCGAUUAGCUAGUCGGUGGGGUAAUGGCCUACCGAGGCAACGAUCGGUAGCUGGUCUGAGAGGAUGACCAGCCACACUGGGACUGAGACACGGCCCAGACUCCUACGGGAGGCAGCAGUAAGGAAUAUUCCACAAUGGCCGCAA
rnacentral:rRNA from 1 species